rnacentral:rRNA from 1 species
UCCAUGAAGUCGGAAUCGCUAGUAAUCGCGAAUCAGAAUGUCGCGGUGAAUACGUUCCCGGGCCUUGUACACACCGCCCGUCACACCAUGGGAGUGGGUUGUACCAGAAGUAGAUAGCUUAACCUUUAGGAGGGCGUUUACCACGGUAUGAUUCAUGACUGGGGUGAAGUCGUAACAAGGUAACCGUAGGGGAACCUGCGGUUGGAUCACCUCCUUACCAAAGA